GGUGCGAGUGAGGGAGGUGCGGCGGUGGAAGGUGGGGGGUAAGCGGUGUCCGGAUUUAGUGGGCGUAAAGAGCGGGGAGGCGGCCAGGCAGGUCAGCUGGGAAAACUCGAGGAUCAACCUCGAGACGUCGGUUGAAACCGUCUGGCUAGAGUCCGGAAGAGGAGAGUGGAAUUCCCGGUGUAGCGGUGAAAUGCGCAGAUAUCGGGAAGAACACCCGUGGCGAAGGCGGCUCUCUGGGACGGUACUGACGCUGAGACGCGAAAGCGUGGGGAGCGAACAGGAUUAGAUACCCGGGUAGUC
rnacentral:rRNA from 1 species